rnacentral:lncRNA from 1 species
UCUAACUACAUUCACACCUCAAGCAACUGCAUGUCAAACUUAGUAUGCAAAUGAUGAAUCUUUGAAGCUCUGGACAAAGUCCAAAUGAAUCACACCAAUCUGUUGAAGGAGAUUUCUCAAGUGUUAGUGUGGGGUGCGACUCACAAAUCAUUAAGCACCUUGGGCCUUUGUUCCCUAGUGGUGAGAAAGCUCCAUAUCGUCUGUAGUUUUUUGUGAGUGGAGAAAAUGCAGAUAGAGAAGAGAUAGGAGAAGAG